AACGAACGCUGGCGGCAUGCCUAACACAUGCAAGUCGAACGAGACCUUCGGGUCUAGUGGCGCACGGGUGCGUAACGCGUGGGAACCUGCCCUUAGGUUCGGAAUAACUCCCCGAAAGGGGUGCUAAUACCGGAUAAUGUCUUCGGACCAAUGAUUUAUCGCCUUUGGAUGGGCCCGCGUUGGAUUAGCUAGUUGGUAGGGUAAAAGCCUACCAAGGCGACGAUCCAUAGCUGGUCUGAGAGGAUGAUCAGCCACACUGGGACUGAGACACGGCCCAGACUCCUACGGGAGGCAGCAGUGGGGAAUAUUGGACAAUGGGCGAAAGCCUGAUCCAGCAAUGCCGCGUGAGUGAUGAAGGCCUUAGGGUUGUAAAGCUCUUUUACCCGGGAUGAUAAUGACAGUACCGGGAGAAUAAGCUCCGGCUAACUCCGU
rnacentral:rRNA from 1 species